UACGUAGGGUGCGAGCGUUAAUCGGAAUUACUGGGCGUAAAGCGUGCGCAGGCGGUUUGUUAAGCCAGAUGUGAAAGCCCCGGGCUCAACCUGGGAACUGCGUUUGGGACUGGCAAGCUAGAGUACGGCAGAGGGGGGUGGAAUUCCACGUGUAGCAGUGAAAUGCGUAGAUAUGUGGAGGAACACCGAUGGCGAAGGCAGCCCCCUGGGCCGAUACUGACGCUCAGGCACGAAAGCGUGGGGAGCAAACAGG
rnacentral:rRNA from 1 species